rnacentral:rRNA from 1 species
AGUGAACGCUGGCGGUAGGCCUAACACAUGCAAGUCGAACGGCAGCACAGUAAGAGCUUGCUCUUACGGGUGGCGAGUGGCGGACGGGUGAGGAAUACAUCGGAAUCUACUUUUUCGUGGGGGAUAACGUAGGGAAGCUUACGCUAAUACCGCAUACGACCUACGGGUGAAAGCAGGGGAUCUUCGGACCUUGCGCGAUUGAAUGAGCCGAUGUCGGAUUAGCUAGUUGGCGGGGUAAAGGCCCACCAAGGCGACGAUCCGUAGCUGGUCUGAGAGGAUGAUCGGCCACACUGGAACUGAGACACGGUCCAGACUCCUACGGGAGGCAGCAGUGGGGAAUAUUGGACAAUGGGCGCAAGCCUGAUCCAGCCAUACCGCGUGGGUGAAGAAGGCCUUCGGGUUGUAAAGCCGUUUUGUUGGGAAAGAAAAGCAGCAGGUUAAUACCCCGCUGUUCUGACGGUACCCAAAGAAUAAGCACCGGCUAACUUCGUG